CCCCAAUUAUUCAAUUUUUGAUGAAAUCACACAAAGUUCAAUUUUGGACCCUUUGGGCCCCUUAUUCCUAAAUUGUUGGGACCAAAACUCCCAAAAUCAAACCCAACCUUCCUUUUAUGGUCAUAAACCUUGUGUUUAAAUUUCAUAGAUUUCUAUUUACUUAUACUAAAGUUAUGGUGCAAAAACCAAAAACAAUGCUUAUUUGGGCCCCUUUUUGGCCCCUAAUUCAUAAACUGUUGUGACCUCAACUCCAAAAAUCAAUCCCAAUCUUUCUUUUGUGGUCAUUAACCUUGUGUUAAAAUUUCAUUGAUUUCUAUUUACUUAUACUAAAGUUAUUGUUCGAAAACCAAGAAUAAUGCUUAUUUGGGCCCUUUUUUGGCCCUUAAUUCCUAAACUGUUGGAACCAAAACUCCCAAAAUCAAUCCCAACCUUCCUUUUGUGGUCAUAAACCUUGUGUUAAAAUUUCAUUGAUUUCUAUUCACUUUUACUAAAGUUAGAGUGCGAAAACUAAAAGUAUUCGGACGACGACGACGACGACGACGACGCAGACGACGACGCCAACGUGAUAGCAAUAUACGACCAAAAAAUUAAAAUUUUUGCGGUCGUAUAAAAAUACAU
rnacentral:lncRNA from 1 species